rnacentral:rRNA from 1 species
UACGUAGGGGGCAAGCGUUGUCCGGAAUUAUUGGGCGUAAAGAGCGUGUAGGCGGUCCGGUAAGUCAGCUGUGAAAGUCAAGGGCUCAACCCUUGAAUGCCGGUUGAUACUGUCGGGCUAGAGUCCGGAAGAGGCGAGUGGAAUUCCCGGUGUAGCGGUGAAAUGCGCAGAUAUCGGGAGGAACACCUAUUGCGAAGGCAGCUCGCUGGGACGUAACUGACGCUGAGACGCGAAAGCGUGGGGAGCAAACAGG